AAUAAAGUUAAUGUUAGAAUGAACUCGCCCGAUCCUGAAUGAUCUCGGAAGCAAAGCAGGGUCAGGCCUGAUUAAUACUUAAAUGGGAAACCACCUAGGAAGAUCAGGUGCUGUAGGCA
rnacentral:rRNA from 1 species